CCAGGGCCGUAACUACCUAUGAGGCAGGCGAGGCAACUGCCUCCCCUAAAUUUUCUACACCAAUUUUUUUUUUUUUUUUUUUUUUAAAGUAAUAAAAUAAAAUAUUGACAAUAUGUAAACUAAAAACUUGAAUUUUUAUUAUAAACAACACACGUUUACAGUUUCAACAGUGUUAUCAUGAUACGUGAUAUAUCUGUUAUUCCCCGGAUUUUUGAUCGAAAGUGAACCAUUUCGGUAUUUGUUGUAGUUUUUUUUUCGAGUGGCCAUCCAUCUGAACUAUUCAUUAGUUUUUUUUUUACCUAUGUCGUACGAGAACGCAUAUAAAACUUAGCUUUCGACAAUUUUAAAUAAAACUUAACUAAUCACAUUUAUUUAGGGGCUCAAUUAAGCAGAGGAAGUUCCCUUUGUAUUGUGAAUCUUUUAUGAUAUCGGAACUUCGUUACCGACUGAAUCAGUUUUUAACGUGUCUAAUCAGAAAGUACG
rnacentral:lncRNA from 1 species